rnacentral:rRNA from 1 species
UGUGCGCGAGUCACUGGGAUCAUGUCUAAACCCAGAGGCGCAGUGAAAGCGUGGGGCUCGCCCGGCAUAAAGCCGCGGCGAGCCGCUAAGGGAGGACGGCCGGUCGUUCCCGAACGGUGCUGCCGGCCAGCACUCCCGGGGCGCCUCGGCUCCGGCCGCAGGCGCACCCGGAGCGCACACGUUGGGACCCGAAAGAUGGUGAACUAUGCCCGGCCAGGACGAAGUCAGGGGAAACCCUGAUGGAGGUCCGCAGCGAUUCUGACGUGCAAAUCGAUCGUCAGAGCUAGGUAUAGGGGCGAAAGACUAAUCGAACCAUCUAGUAGCU